CACUGAUGGCUUUCAAAGCCUCAGACAGAGAGUCUGUAAACAAAACAGAUACAGUGGUCAGAUUCAGAAGCAUCUGUGGCACCUCCCAGAUCUCAGCCUUUUUAUUCCACUGCCACGAAGAUGGACUUGAGGAGGAUGAAAGUGAGUGAGUGACAGAGCCCCCUGAGGAUGUCAUUAGCCAGGGCAGGCUGGCUCUCAGCAUGGCCCACUUUAAACACUCUUACAGGCUAAAGCUAAACUCCCCCCCAGUAGAACCCCCACCACCACGCCCACCUGGGCAGCUAUCACAACUGGAAUGUGACCUUUUCAUGAUGAGGCUGAAGGAAAACAGAAGCAGUCUGAGGUGGUUGAUGCGAGCUGCGGAUAUUCUCAGAUGCUGUGAUGGUGUGCCUGAAAUCAAUAGGGGGUCCAGAGAGAGUGAUAGACACAGAGAGAAAGAAAGACAGAGAGAGAGAGAAAGAAAGAGAGACAGAGAGAGAGGAAGGGAGACGUCCAGUUCUGCCAGCUUAGCCUCUUAUGCCAACUCAACCCAACGCCCCCCC